GGAAACUUUGAUUCGGGAUCUGGAGAAACAACGGUGAAGCAAGAAACGGGGGAAUCAGUUCAACAACAAAAUGGGUUCUGUAAUCAAUCAUCUUCAAUGGUUAAUACGAAUUCGGUUAAUUCAGCUGGUGGAGCUCAGAUUGGGAACUCGUAUGGUGUUUUGAAUUCGUCAGAUUUUGAUAACUCGAUGCAAUUGCAGUUGGGUGCGAGGAAUUGUUCUAAUCUUUUUAGGCAAAGUAGCUCUCCUGCUGGAUUUUUCUCCCAUUUGACUGCUGAAAAUGGCAAUACAACGAGGGAGGUUGAAAAGUUCGGGACUUGCAAUAGAAAAGAUGUAGAUUCUGCUUAUCCAUCUACCCGGAUUGGUAAUCAGAUGAACAUAUCUGGCCAUUCUUUUGGCUCAAGCCAUAUGCCUCCAAUUGCAGAAGAGGAGAAUAAAAGCAUAGACGUUUUCUUGGGAUAACUCCGCAAUGAGGGACAUAAAAAGAGGUAGAGAUAACAAUGGUCACGCGUUUUCGAC
rnacentral:misc_RNA from 1 species